CUAUUCUUCUCAGUGGACUCAAUUGCCAUUAGUCCCGUUCGAUAGAGGAAAGUCGAGUUCAUUUGAUUUUUCAGAUUCGAGGAUGAAUCUUUUUGAGGAAGGGGGGAAUGAUACGAGUCACAAAAGCCCAAAUUCUUGAAGGUGAGGCCCAAUAAGCAAAUUCCCAGCCCAAUCAAGAAAUCCAUCCAUACUUAGUUGAAAAUCAGGCCAAAUUGUCAAAGUGGCC
rnacentral:lncRNA from 1 species